rnacentral:rRNA from 1 species
AUUGAACGCUGGCGGCAUGCCUUACACAUGCAAGUCGAACGGCAGCACGGGAGCUUGCUCCUGGUGGCGAGUGGCGAACGGGUGAGUAAUAUAUCGGAACGUACCCUAGAGUGGGGGAUAACGCAGCGAAAGUUGCGCUAAUACCGCAUACGAUCUACGGAUGAAAGUGGGGGAUCGCAAGACCUCAUGCUCAUGGAGCGGCCGAUAUCUGAUUAGCUAGUUGGUGGGGUAAAGGCCUACCAAGGCUUCGAUCAGUAGCUGGUCUGAGAGGACGACCAGCCACACUGGAACUGAGACACGGUCCAGACUCCUACGGGAGGCAGCAGUGGGGAAUUUUGGACAAUGGGCGAAAGCCUGAUCCAGCAAUGCCGCGUGAGUGAAGAAGGCCUUCGGGUUGUAAAGGU